UACGUAGGGUCCGAGCGUUGUCCGGAAUUAUUGGGCGUAAAGAGCUCGUAGGCGGUUUGUCGCGUCUGCUGUGAAAUCCCGAGGCUCAACCUCGGGCCUGCAGUGGGUACGGGCAGACUUGAGUGGUGUAGGGGAGACUGGAAUUCCUGGUGUAGCGGUGGAAUGCGCAGAUAUCAGGAGGAACACCGAUGGCGAAGGCAGGUCUCUGGGCACUUACUGACGCUGAGGAGCGAAAGCGUGGGGAGCGAACAGGAUUAGAAACCCUUGUAGUCC
rnacentral:rRNA from 1 species